UACGGAAGGUCCAGGCGUUAUCCGGAUUUAUUGGGUUUAAAGGGAGCGUAGGCCGUUUGGUAAGCGUGUUGUGAAAUGUCGGGGCUCAACCUGGGCAUUGCAGCGCGAACUGCCAGACUUGAGUGCGCAGGAAGUAGGCGGAAUUCGUCGUGUAGCGGUGAAAUGCUUAGAUAUGACGAAGAACUCCGAUUGCGAAGGCAGCCUGCUGUAGCGCAACUGACGCUGAAGCUCGAAAGCGUGGGUAUCGAACAGG
rnacentral:rRNA from 1 species